CUUGGUUUUCCUUCUCGAUUGUUGUUCUUGGUUAACGUAGGUGCUCCAGCAGAUUGUCGUUCAAACAGACCCGUUCGUAAUGGUGGUGAGGUAGGGCAGGGAGAAACGCCUACGCUGUUAGCAGGGUGUUCGUGCCAUUGCUGCACAGUCUUGAUCCUCAGAAAAAAAAGAGUGUAUGGUUGGAGAACAGCUGACCAAGCCUGGGCUUUGGUGAGCUACUUCUCUAGUGAAGUAUAAACUUAAUAAGCUUGCUCCCAUUUUAGAAGGAGUUCUUGAGGAAGACUCGUCUUUCUAUUCAAAGGCGGAAAUAAGGAUAACAUCAGAGCAGGAUGCAAAAAGUGUGGUUACCGACCAUGGAUAUCAAUACAGAUUUAGUGCUCUGUUUCUACAUGCAGCAAGUAUCAGAAACUUUCUGGAAGAGAGGGAAACCUGUAGUCAAAUCAAACAAUCCCUGUUUGUGUUCCUAAAAGCUCUGUCUUCAAGAUAUAGGUGUUUUGAUGUGAAGAACCUGGUCAUUUGACAUUUGAAUGUCGAAACUUCCUCCGAGUAGAUCCUCAAAGAGAUAUUGUUUUAGAUGUUAGCAGCACUAGCAGUGAAGACAGUGAGGAAGAAGAACUACAGAGAUUGCAAGCCAUGCGUGAAAAAAAGAACUUGACAUUUAGUUCCUACUGAAGAUGCUAUUUAGGGAGAAGGGAAAGAUAGAGCCUCGUAGUUUGCUGUACACUUCAAAAGAAACGGGUAGUCUGCUUGACAAGAGUGCUGAAUUGGUACUGCAAUGGUCCUUUCUUGGGACAAGUCUAUUUGAAAAAACUAGUUCCCACUUAUGUAUUUCUGAAUAUUUAAAUGAGGAGGAAGAAAAAAA